rnacentral:rRNA from 1 species
AUUGAACGCUGGCGGCAGGCUUAACACAUGCAAGUCGAGCGGUAACAUUUCAAAGCUUGCUUUGAAGAUGACGAGCGGCGGACGGGUGAGUAACGCGUGGGAACCUGCCUUUUUCUGCGGGAUAACGGUUGGAAACGACCGCUAAUACCGCAUACGCCCUACGGGGGAAAGGUCCGCCGGAAAAAGAGGGGCCCGCGUCUGAUUAGCUUGUUGGUAGGGUAAUGGCCUACCAAGGCGACGAUCAGUAGCUGGUCUGAGAGGAUGAUCAGCCACACUGGGACUGAGACACGGCCCAG